rnacentral:rRNA from 1 species
UACGAACUCUGGCGGCGUGCCUAAUACAUGCAAGUAGAACGCCGUUGCGAACGGGUGAGUAACGCGUAGGUAACUUCCUCAUUGCGGGGGAUGACUAUUGGAAACGAUAGCUAAUACCGCAUACUGUGAGAUGGACCUGCGUUGUAUUAGCUAGUUGGUGAGGUAAAGGCUCACCAAGGCGACGAUACAUAGCCGACCUGAGAGGGUGAUCGGGCACACUGGGACUGAGACACGGCCCAGAAUCCGACGGGAGGCAGGAGUAGGGAAUCUUCGGCAAUGGACGGAAGUCUGACCGAGCAACGCCGCGAGAGAGAAGAAGGGUUUCGGAUCGGAAAGCACUGUUAGUAGAGAAUAGGUAACUAACCAGAAAGGAACGGAUAACUACGUGCCAGCAGCCGCGGUAAUUC